rnacentral:rRNA from 1 species
AGCGAACGCUGGCGGCAGGCUUAACACAUGCAAGUCGAACGGGCGUAGCAAUACGUCAGUGGCAGACGGGUGAGUAACGCGUGGGAACGUACCUUUUGGUUCGGAACAACACAGGGAAACUUGUGCUAAUACCGAAUAAGCCCUUACGGGGAAAGAUUUAUCGCCGAAAGAUCGGCCCGCGUCUGAUUAGCUAGUUGGUGAGGUAAAAGCUCACCAAGGCGACGAUCAGUAGCUGGUCUGAGAGGAUGAUCAGCCACAUUGGGACUGAGACACGGCCCAAACUCCUACGGGAGGCAGCAGUGGGGAAUAUUGGACAAUGGGCGCAAGCCUGAUCCAGCCAUGCCGCGUGAGUGAUGAAGGCCCUAGGGUUGUAAAGCUCUUUUGUGCGGGAAGAUAAUGACGGUACCGCAAGAAUAAGCCCCGGCUAACUUCGUGCCAGCCGCCGCCGUAAGAC